GUCCAUUGCUUGAAUUUAUGAAUACAUUUAUAAUACUUUGUAAACAACACUAUCCUUUAUAAAACAUUGCUGUAAGUAUUAAACAAGGAAAAUAUUCAGUCUUUUUAAUUCUGUAGACUUUCGAUAUUUGACGUCUCGAUUCUUUGUGUUUUUUCUAUCUUUUAUGAAUGAAUGAUUUCUAUGAUUUGGCUGCUAUUUCUAGCUAUGGAAGAGAGGUGUCUAUAAUUUGUGCGAGAUUUGGCUGCUAUUUCUAGCUAUGGAAGAGAAGUGUCUAUGAUUUGUGCGAGAUUUGGCUGCUAUUUCUAGCUAUGGAAGAGAGGUGUCUAUAAUUUGUGCGAGAUUUGGCUGCUAUUUCUAGCUAUGGAAGAGAAGUGUCUAUGAUUUGUGCGAGAUUUGGCUGCUAUUUCUAGCUAUGGAAGAGAGGUGUCUAUGAUUUGUGCGAGAUUUGGCUGCUAUUUCUAGCUAUGGAAGAGAAGUGUCUAUGAUUUGUGCGAGAUUUGGCUGCUAUUUCUAGCUAUGGAAGAGAGGUGUCUAUGAUUUGUGCGAGAUUUGGCUGCUAUUUCUAGCUAUGGAAGAGAGGUGUCUAUGAGUUGUGCGAGAUUUGGCUGCUAUUUCUAGCUAUGAAAGAGAGGUGUCUAUGAUUUGUGCGAGAUUUGGCUGCUAUUUCUAGCUAUGGAAGAGCGGUGUCUAUGAUUUGUGCGAGAUUUGGCUGUUAUUUCUAGCUAUGAAAGAGAGGUGUCUAUGAUUUGUGCGAGAUUUGUCUGCUAUUUCUAGCUAUGGAAGAGCGGUGUCUAUGAGUUGUGCGAGAUUUGGCUGCUAUUUCUAGCUAUGGAAGAGAGGUGUCUAUGAUUUGUGCGAGAUUUGGCUGCUAUUUCUAGCUAUGGAAGAGCGGUGUCUAUGAUUUGUGCGAGAUUUGGCUGCUAUUUCUAGCUAUGGAAGAGAGGUGUCUAUGAUUUGUGCGAGAUUUAGCUGCUAUUUCUAGCUAUGGAAGAUAGGUGUCUAUGAUUUGUGCGAGAUUUGGCUGCUAUUUCUAGCUAUGGAAGAGUGAUGUCGUCAAAAAAAAAAAAAUAGUGCAACGGGUGUUAAAAAAUGGGGAGCAGGAAACGAAAAUGAAAGCAAAAAUGCGUGGAAAGCAACGGCGGGAUGGGGAGAGGACUUCGGAAAAUUCACAAGAUCCGAGUUUUUCCCUAAUAACUUUUAGGAAAAUGGUUUUAUUUUUUUUAAAUGAAAUUUUAUAUAAAUACCUUUCAAACGGCAUACAUUACGAUUAUAACGAAAUUUAUGGGUAAAAUCUUUUCCUAGGGGUGGGGAGAGGACUUCGGUAGAAUUUAUCUCCUUUCAUAAAAGGGGUUAAUUUUGUAUUUUCGUUUUAUUAUCAUCAUCAUCAUCAUUAUUAUUAUUUUUGUAUUAUAAAUUCAGAAUUGAUUUUCCAAUUAAGGAAUAAAUUGUAUCUCAAUUGAAGAAUAAAUUGAAUUUAGAAUCACAAAUUUCUAUACAACAUAUUUUGCUUUUUUCUUCCAAAAUAUACAAAAUUUCAUUCGGGGACAACACCAGGUGUCUCUGCUAGUAAAUUAAAGAGUUCAGUUGUGAGGUAGAUGUUUAUUUCUACAGUUCCUCUCUACAGACGUGUUGUAGAUUUUCCACUGUUGAAUCUGUACUUAUAAAGUAACCUUUAUAUCUUUAACUGUUGUUUCUUUAUUAUUUCAGAAUAUCAGAUGACAUUUGGGAUACCAAAAGAUAUAUGCUCCUUAUCUAUCAUCUUUUGAAGACUGAAGAAAAAUGUUAUACUGAAGAGAUAUAUAACACUGUUUCUAUAAAUCUUUGGCAGAAUUACUGUGAAAUAUUU
rnacentral:lncRNA from 1 species